UACGUAGGGGGCUAGCGUUGUCCGGAUUUAUUGGGCGUAAAGAGCGUGUAGGCGGCCAGGCAGGUCUGCUGUGAAAACUCGAGGCUCAACCUCGAGACGUCGGCGGAAACCAUCUGGCUAGAGUCCGGAAGAGGAGAGUGGAAUUCCUGGUGUAGCGGUGAAAUGCGCAGAUAUCAGGAAGAACACCCGUGGCGAAGGCGGCUCUCUGGUACGUGACUGACGCUGAGACGCGAAAGCGUGGGGAGCGAACAGG
rnacentral:rRNA from 1 species